rnacentral:rRNA from 1 species
UUAAAUUGAAGAGUUUGAUCAUGGCUCAGAUUGAACGCUGGCGGCAGGCCUAACACAUGCAAGUCGAACGGUAACAGGAAUCAGCUUGCUGAUUUGCUGACGAGUGGCGGACGGGUGAGUAA